rnacentral:rRNA from 1 species
GACGAACGCUGGCGGCGUGCUUAACACAUGCAAGUCGAACGAAGUGGCGGACGGGUGAGUAACGCGUAGUCAACCUGCCCUUCAGAGGGGGACAACAGUGGGAAACGACUGCUAAUACCGCAUACUGAAGGAGGGGAUUGCGUUGGAUUAGCUAGUUGGAGGGGUAACGGCCCACCAUGGCGAUGAUCAGUAGCCGGUCUGAGAGGAGGGACGGCCACAAUGGGACUGAGAAACGGCCCAGAAUCCUACGGGAGGCAGCAGUGGGGAAUCUUCCGCAAUGGAGGAAAGUCUGACGGAGCAACGCCGCGGGAGUGAUGAAGGCCUUCGGGUUGUAAAGCUCUGUUAAUCGGGACGCGGUACCGGAAUAGAAAGCCACGGCUAACUACGUGCCAGCCGCCGCGGUAAUAC